GACGAACGCUGGCGGCGUGCUUAACACAUGCAAGUCGAACGGAAAGGCCCUGCUUGCCGGGUCCUCGAGUGGCGAACGGGUGAGUAACACGUGGGUGAUCUGCCCUGCACUUCGGGAUAAGCCUGGGAAACUGGGUCUAAUACCGGAUAGGAGCCAUUUUUAGUGUGAUGGUUGGAAAGUUUUUUCGGUGUAGGAUGAGCUCGCGGCCUCACUGCUUGUUGGUGGGGUAAUGGCCUACCAAGGCGGCGACGGGGAGCCGGCCUGGGAGGGUGGACGGGCACAGUGGGACUGGGACACGGACCAGGCUCCGACGGGAGGCAGAAGUGGGGGAUGGUGCUCAAUGAGAGCGAGCCUGAUGCAGCGACGCCGCGGGGGGGAUGACGGCCUUCGGGUUAUAAACGCAUUUCGCUAGGGACGAAGCUUUUUGUGACGGUACCUAGAGAAGAAGCACCGGCUAACUACGUG
rnacentral:rRNA from 1 species